CCUACGGGGGGCAGCAGUAGGGAAUCUUCCACAAUGGGCGAAAGCCUGAUGGAGCAACGCCGCGUGGGUGAAGAAGGUCUUCGGAUCGUAAAACCCUGUUGUUAGAGAAGAAAGUGCGUGAGAGUAACUGUUCACGUUUCGACGGUAUCUAACCAGAAAGCCACGGCUAACUACGUGCCAGCAGCCGCGGUAAUACGUAGGUGGCAAGCGUUAUCCGGAUUUAUUGGGCGUAAAGGGAACGCAGGCGGUCUUUUAAGUCUGAUGUGAAAGCGUUCGGCUUAACCGGAGUAGUGCAUUGGAAACUGGGAGACUUGAGUGCAGAAGAGGAGAGUGGAAUGCGAUGUGUAGCGGUGAAAUGCGUAGAUAUAUGGCAGAACACCAGUGGCGAAAGCGGCUCUCUGGCCUGUAACUGACGCUGAGGUUCGAAAGCGUGGGUAGCAAACAGGAUUAGAUACCCGUGUAGUC
rnacentral:rRNA from 1 species